AUUGAACGCUGGCGGCAGGCCUAACACAUGCAAGUCGAACGAGUGGCGGACGGGUGAGUACUGUCUGGGAAACUGCCUGAUGGAGGGGGAUAACUUCUGGAAACGGUAGCUAAUACCGCAUACCAUCCGAUGUUCCCAGAGGGGAUUAGCUAGUUGGUGGGGUAACGGCUCACCAAGGCGAAGAUCCACCGCUGGUCUGAGAGGAUGACCAGCCACACUGGAACUGAGACACUGUCCAGAUUCCUACGGGAGGCAGCAGUGGGGAAUAUUGCACAAUGGGCGCAAGCCUGAGUCAGCCAUGCCGCGUGUAUGAAGAAGGCCUUCGGGUUGUAAAGUACUUUCAGCGGGGAGGCGGUACCCGCAGAAGAAGCACCGGCUAACUCCGUGCCAGCAGCCGCGGUAAUAC
rnacentral:rRNA from 1 species